AUUGAACGCUGGCGGAAUGCUUUACACAUGCAAGUCGAACGGCAGCACGGACUUCGGUCUGGUGGCGAGUGGCGAAUGGGUGAGUAAUGUAUCGGAACGUGCCCAGUCGUGGGGGAUAACGUAGUGAAAAUUACGCUAAUACCGCAUACGAUCUAUGGAUGAAAGCGGGGGAUCGCAAGAACUCGCGCGAUUGGAGCGGCCGAUAUCAGAUUAGGUAGUUGGUGGGGUAAAGGCCCACCAAGCCAACGAUCUGUAGCUGGUCUGAGAGGACGACCAGCCACACUGGAACGGAGACACGGUCCAGACUCCUACGGGAGGCUGCAGUGGGGAAUUUUGGACAAUGGGCGAAAGCCUGAUCCAGCCAUUCCGCGUGCAAGAUGAAGGCCAUCGGGUUGUAAACUGCUUUUGUACAGAACGAAAAGGUUUCUACUAAUACUAGGAGCUCAUGACGGUACUGUAAGAAUAAGCACCGGCUAACUACGUGCCAGCAGCCGCGGUAA
rnacentral:rRNA from 1 species